rnacentral:rRNA from 1 species
AGAGUUUGAUCCUGGCUCAGGACGAACGCUGGCGGCGUGCCUAAUACAUGCAAGUCGAGCGGACAGAUGGGAGCUUGCUCCCUGAUGUUAGCGGCGGACGGGUGAGUAACACGUGGGUAACCUGCCUGUAAGACUGGGAUAACUCCGGGAAACCGGGGCUAAUACCGGAUGGUUGUCUGAACCGCAUGGUUCAGACAUAUAAGGUGGCUUCGGCUACCACUUACAGAUGGACCCGCGGCGCAUUAGCUAGUUGGUGAGGUAACGGCUCACCUAGGCGACGAUGCGUAGCCGACCUGAGAGGGUGAUCGGCCACACUGGGACUGAGACACGGCCCAGACUCCUACGGGAGGCAGCAGUAGGGAAUCUUCCGCAAUGGACGAAAGUCUGACGGAGCAACGCCGCGUGAGUGAUGAAGGUUUUCGGAUCGUAAAGCUCUGUUGUAGGGAAGAACAAGUGCCGUUCAAAUAGGGCGGCACCUUGACGGUACCUAACCAGAAAGCCACGGCUAACUACGUGCCAGCAGCCGCGGUAAUACGUAGGUGGCAAGCGUUGUCCGGAAUUAUUGGGCGUAAAGGGCUCGCAGGCGGUUUCUUAAGUCUAAUGUGAAAGCCCCCGGCUCAACCGGGGAGGGUCAUUGGAAACUGGGGAACUUGAGUGCAGAAGAGGAGAGUGGAAUUCCACGUGUAGCGGUGAAAUGCGUAGAGAUGUGGAGGAACACCAGUGGCGAAGGCGACUCUCUGGUCUGCAACUGACGCUGAGGAGCGAAAGCGUGGGGAGCGAACAGGAUUAGAUACCCUGGUAGUCCACGCCGUAAACGAUGAGUGCUAAGUGUUAGGGGGUUUCCGCCCCUUAGUGCUGCAGCUAACGCAUUAAGCACUCCGCCUGGGGAGUACGGUCGCAAGACUGAAACUCAAAGGAAUUGACGGGGGCCCGCACAAGCGGUGGAGCAUGUGGUUUAAUUCGAAGCAACGCGAAGAACCUUACCAGGUCUUGACAUCCUCUGACAAUCCUAGAGAUAGGGCGUCCCCUUCGGGGGCAGAGUGACAGGUGGUGCAUGGUUGUCGUCAGCUCGUGUCGUGAGAUGUUGGGUUAAGUCCCGCAACGAGCGCAACCCUUGAUCUUAGUUGCCAGCAUUCAGUUGGGCACUCUAAGGUGACUGCCGGUGACAAACCGGAGGAAGGUGGGGAUGACGUAAGUCGUAACAAGGUAGCCGU